rnacentral:rRNA from 1 species
GUGAACGCUGGCGGUAGGCCUAACACAUGCAAGUCGAACGGCAGCACAGUAAGAGCUUGCUCUUACGGGUGGCGAGUGGCGGACGGGUGAGGAAUACAUCGGAAUCUACUUUUUCGUGGGGGAUAACGUAGGGAAACUUACGCUAAUACCGCAUACGACCUACGGGUGAAAGCAGGGGAUCUUCGGACCUUGCGCGAUUGAAUGAGCCGAUGUCGGAUUAGCUAGUUGGCGGGGUAAAGGCCCACCAAGGCGACGAUCCGCAGCUGGUCUGAGAGGAUGAUCAGCCACACUGGAACUGAGACACGGUCCAGACUCCUACGGGAGGCAGCAGUGGGGAAUAUUGGACAAUGGGCGCAAGCCUGAUCCAGCCAUACCGCGUGGGUGAAGAAGGCCUUCGGGUUGUAAAGCCCUUUUGUUGGGAAAGAAAAGCAGCAGGUUAAUACCCCGCUGUUCUGACGGUACCCAAAGAAUAAGCACCGGCUAACUUCGUG